rnacentral:rRNA from 1 species
ACACGGAGGGUGCGAGCGUUAAUCGGAAUUACUGGGCGUAAAGCGUGCGUAGGCGGUUAAUUAAGUCAGAUGUGAAAGCCCAGGGCUCAACCUUGGAACUGCAUUUGAAACUGGUUAACUGGAGUAUGGUAGAGGGGGGUAGAAUUUCUGGUGUAGCGGUGAAAUGCGUAGAUAUCAGAAGGAAUACCGAUGGCGAAGGCAGCCCCCUGGACCAAUACUGACGCUGAGGUACGAAAGCGUGGGGAGCAAACAGGAUUAGAUACCCCGGUAGUCC